rnacentral:rRNA from 1 species
CAUGUAGGCGGAUCAUCAAGUGUUUUGUGAAAUCCCUCGGCUUAACCGAGGAAUUGCUUGGCAAACUUCUGUUCUUGAGGCAAGUAGGGGUACAUGGAACUCUUGGUGGAGCGGUGGAAUGCGUAGAUAUCAAGAGGAACGCCGAUGGUGAAGACAGUGUACUAGGCUUGUCCUGACGCUGAGGUGCGAAAGCGUGGGGAGCGAACAGGAUUAGAUACCCUGGUAGUCC